rnacentral:rRNA from 1 species
ACGGAAGGCAGCAGUGGGGGAUAUUGGGCAAUGGGGGAAACCCUGACCCAGCAACGCCGCGUGAAGGAAGAAGGCCUUUGGGUUGUAAACUUCUUUUACCAGGGACGAUAAUGACGGUACCUGGAGAAAAAGCAACGGCUAACUACGUGCCAGCAGCCGCGGUAAUACGUAGGUUGCAAGCGUUGUCCGGAUUUACUGGGUGUAAAGGGCGUGUAGGCGGAGCUGCAAGUCAGAUGUGAAAUCCCGGGGCUCAACCCCGGAACUGCAUUUGAAACUGUAGCCCUUGGGUAUCGGAGAGGCAAGCGGAAUUCCUAGUGUAGCGGUGAAAUGCGUAGAUAUUAGGAGGAACACCAGUGGCGAAGGCGGCUUGCUGGACGACAGCUGACGCUGAGGCGCGAAAGCGUGGGGAGCAAACAGGAUUAGAUACCCUGGUA